GACAAAGAAAAGAAAGAACAACAAUCAUGCCAAAAAGGGCCGCGGCCACAUGCAGCCUAUUUGCUGCAUGAACUGUGCCCGAUGCAUGCCCAAGUACAAAGCCGUUAAGAAACUCAAAAAAACUCAUCAUUUGAAACAUAGUGGAGGCCGCGGCAGUCAGGGACAUUUCUGAAGCAAGCACCUUCAAUGCCUAUGUGCUUCCCAAGCUGUAUGUGAAACUACAUUACUGUGUGAGUUGUGCAAUUCACAGCAAAGUAGUCAGGAAUCGAUCUCAUGAAGCCCGCAAGGACCCAACACCCCCUCCCCGAUUUAGACCUGCGGGUGCUUCCCCAUGACCCCCACCAAAGCCCAUGUAA
rnacentral:lncRNA from 1 species